GGAGAGAUGCCGGAGCGGCUGAACGGGACGGUCUCGAAAACCGUAGUUGGGGCAACUCAACCGGGGGUUCAAAUCCCCCUCUCUCCGCCA
rnacentral:tRNA from 6 species